GAUCUGAAUUAACCGCAAUAAUGUUACUACUUUUAUAGAAUUUCGAAAUGAAAAUAAACAAAUUCUCUGAACAGAAAAACAGCUGAUGCUUAAAUUUGCAUUUAAUUUGUUCUUAUUUUUCUUUUGUUUAUCUAUAUUAUGCUUCUUAUUUUUCUCGUUAUGAAACGGGAAGUGUUGUUUUUUCGUCAAUCAUUUUGCUUUUCGUAACCUAACCUUAACUAGUAUUCUAUAAUAUUGUCAUUAGUGCAGUGCGAACUUAAUUUUUUGACCCUUUUAUUUAGACAUCCCCA